CCUGAAUGCAAAAUAUGGCACAUCACACGUGAAAUACCAAACAACUACUGGAUGGUAAAAUCAACUAUAGGCUAUAGCUUUGCCGGUACCUUGACUGUAGCUUUUAAUCUUUUUUAUGUAUGUAAAGAAUCUCUGUCAGCGUCGCAUGCUGGCAUGUUUCGGAGUAAUUCUACUGUCACAGUAUCAGUAUGAGGAAGAGAUGCAGCAACAUCAACUUCAUCAGCGGCAGCAGGAGAGCUCUUAAUUCCUUCGCUGUUACGGGAACCCAAAACCAUCCGUUUUAUCUUUUACUGCUGAUACUACUUGUCCCUGUCGCCUUUAUCCCCGCUACUGCUUGCUCCACCGGCAAUUGCCAGCUCCUGGACUCUUGUACCUCUGCAACUGAUUGUGGGCCUGGCUUAUAUUGUGGAAACUGUCCAGCAGUGGGAAAGACUCAACCUUUCUGCACCAGAGGACAAGCUACCAUCCCUACUUCAAUUAUCAAUGGGCUGCCAUUUAAUAAAUACACAUGGCUGGUGACCCACAAUUCAUUCUCAAUUGUGGAUGCCCCAUCUUUAACGGGUGCUCAAAGGAUCACAUUUUACAAUCAAGAGGAUACAGUUACUAAUCAACUCAGAAAUGGAGUGAGGGGAUUGAUGCUGGACAUGUACGAUUUCGAGGAUGACAUCUGGCUCUGCCACUCGUUUCGUGGCCAGUGUUAUAACUUCACUGCCUUUGAGCCCGCGAUUGACACCUUAAAGGAAGUGGAAGCAUUCUUGAAUGAGAACCCAACUGAAAUCGUUACCAUCAUAAUUGAGGACUAUGUCCAUGCCCCCAAAGGCUUGACAAAGGUAUUCUCGAAUGCUGCGUUGGACAAAUAUUGGUUUCCGCUUUCCAAGAUGCCCAAGAAGGGUGAGGACUGGCCCACUGUUACUGACAUGAUAAAAGACAAUCACCGGUUGCUAGUUUUCACUUCUGAUUCCUCCAAAGAAGCUACUGAAGGAAUUGCUUAUCAGUGGAAGCACAUGGUGGAAAAUGAAGCUGGAGAUCCUGGUGUGGUGCCUGGUUCAUGCCCAAACAGAAAGGAAUCAAAGCCACUCAACUCGAAAAGUGCAUCCCUUUUUCUACAAAAUUACUUCCCUACUAUUCCAGACCAAAAUCAGGCUUGUAAAGAGCAUUCAGUUGCCCUUAUUGAUAUGAUUAACACCUGUUACAAAGCAGCCGGCAAUGUCAUACCAAAUUUUUUGGCUGUCAACUUUUACAUGAGGAGUGAUGGCGGAGGUGUUUUCGAUGCUGUGGAUAGGAUGAAUGGCCAAGCAUUAUGUGGAUGCACUGUUAUCACUGCUUGUCAGGCAGGGGCAUCUUUUGGAAGUUGCAAGAAUGUUCCCGCCUCUAAUACAACUCCAGCUACUACCAGUCCUGCUGGAAGUUUUUCUGGGUCUGUGCAGUUAACAGGAGCUGUUGCAGCAAUCCAGCCUUCCCGUGUUACGUCUACGUGCAUCUGUGCCAUGUCCAUCUUGUUGUUGCUAUUAUGACCAGACAGAACAUUUGUUUGGUGUAUUAGCUAAUGCAGGGGCAUUGGCUUCUACUUUACUAGCUUGUGAAGCCUUUGACUUAAAAUAGGAGUAUACUGCAAGUUGUAUUAUAGAGGGGAAGACCACAGGAACUCUUUCAAGAAAAUAUUUUAAAGAACCAAGGAGUCAGCUUUAGAAAGAACAGCAGAGAAUCCUGGCUUUUGUUUGGGGCAGUCCCGAUGUAGUUGCAGAAUUUGAUAGGACGUGAAUUUAAUGGAACCUCUUAUCUGCUGAGUUCUUUUCCAGUGAUAGGAGGAUUUCCGCUGUCUAUAGAUCUCCUAGCCUGCAACCAUUUUCUCAGCUUGGGUGAUUAUUUUGCGCGUUUUUUCUUAUUAUUCUUCUUCUUCUUUUUUCCCCUCUUUAAUACGGUGGUGCAUUUCAACAUAAUCACUUCGCUUCGGGCAUGCUUGUCGUAAAACAUGGAGGAUUGCCUGCA